UACGAAGGGGGCUAGCGCUGUUCGAAAUUACUGGGCGUAAAGCGCACGUAGGCGGAUUUUUAAGUCAGGGGUGAAAUCCCGGGGCUCAACCUCGGAACUGCCUUUGAUACUGCAAGUCUUGCGACCGGAAGAGGUGAGUGGAAUUCCUAGUGUAGAGGUGAAAUUCGUAGAUAUUAGGAAGAACACCAGUGGCGAAGGCGCCUCACUGGUCCGGUUCUGACGCUGAGGUGCAACAGCGUGAGGAGCAAACAGG
rnacentral:rRNA from 1 species